GAUGAACGCUAGCUACAGGCUUAACACAUGCAAGUCGAGGGACCGGCGCACGGGUGAUUAACACGUAUCCAACCUGCCCUUUACUCUGGGAUAGCCUUUCGAAAGAUAGUUUAAUACCCGCUAUAAAGGACGGGGAUGCGUUCCAUUAGGUUGUUGGUGAGGUAACGGCCAGCCAAGCCUUCGAUGGAUAGGGGUUAGGAGAGGAAGGUCCCCUACAAUGGAAAUGAGACACGGUCCAAACUCCUACGCGAGGCAGCAGUGAGGAAUAUUGGUCAAUGGGCGUUAGCCUGAACCAGCCAAGUAGCGUGAAGGAUGAAUGCUUAUGGGUCGUAAACUUCUUGUAUAUAAGAAUAUGUAUUAUAUGAAGAAGGAUCGGCUAACUCCGUGCCAGCAGCCGCGGUAAUUC
rnacentral:rRNA from 1 species